ACACACAUCCACACACUCACACCCCACCCCCUAGUCUGGCUGGGAAUUUGAACCGAUCCAGCCUGUUUAAACGGAAAGGACACAGAUCUUCAAUGUAAAAAAAAAAUCAGAUCAGACCCAGAGAGAGAGAGAGACGGAGAGGGAGGAGUGUGUGUGUGUGCGAGUGUGUGUGUGUGUGUGUGAAAGAGGGAGAGGGAGAGCGAGAGAGAGGGAGAGAGAGGGAGAGAGAGAGAGAGAGAGAGGGAGAGAGAGAGAAAAGAAGAGGGGGAAAAAAAGGAAAGAAGAUUUUCUCUAUGUAUAUAAAGAUGGCCACGUUAGCAAACGGACAACCAGACAAUACCAGCCUGAGUAGCAAUCACAGCAACCCCAGCACCAACGGGCAUAUGAACGGAUUAAACCAUAGUCCCGGAAACCCAUCCACCAUCCCAAUGAAGGACCACGAUGCCAUUAAGCUCUUUAUUGGGCAGAUUCCCCGUAACCUGGACGAGAAAGACCUCAAACCGCUCUUCGAGGAGUUCGGGAAGAUCUAUGAACUGACGGUGCUGAAGGACAGGUUCACUGGCAUGCACAAAGGCUGUGCCUUCCUAACAUACUGCGAAAGGGAGUCUGCUCUAAAGGCCCAGAGUGCACUGCACGAACAGAAGACACUGCCAGGGAUGAAUAGACCGAUCCAGGUGAAACCAGCGGACAGCGAAAGCCGAGGAGAAGACAGAAAACUCUUUGUGGGCAUGCUUAAUAAGCAGCAGUCAGAAGAUGAUGUGCGCAGGCUAUUCGAGGCAUUUGGCAACAUUGAGGAGUGCACAAUCCUUCGGGGACCCGAUGGAAACAGCAAAGGGUGUGCAUUUGUGAAAUAUUCUUCGCAUGCAGAGGCCCAAGCAGCUAUCAAUGCCUUGCAUGGCAGCCAGACAAUGCCGGGAGCCUCUUCAAGCCUGGUGGUGAAGUUUGCAGAUACAGACAAGGAGCGUACAAUGAGGCGCAUGCAGCAAAUGGCGGGACAAAUGGGCAUGUUCAACCCCAUGGCCAUCCAGUUUGGAGCAUAUGGCGCCUAUGCACAGGCACUGAUGCAGCAGCAAGCCGCGAUCAUGGCUUCGGUGGCACAGGGCGGCUACCUGAACCCCAUGGCAGCCUUUGCUGCAGCUCAGAUGCAGCAGAUGGCGGCUCUGAACAUGAAUGGCCUGGCAGCUGCCCCCAUGACUCCAACCUCAGGUGGAAGCACGCCUCCUGGCAUAACUGCACCAGCUGUGCCUAGCAUCCCAUCUCCCAUUGGGGUGAAUGGUUUCACUGGCCUCCCGCCGCAGGCUAACGGGCAGCCCGCCGCAGAAGCAGUGUUUGCAAAUGGCAUACACCCUUACCCAGCGCAGAGUCCCACUGCAGCAGACCCCUUGCAGCAAGCCUACGCUGGAGUGCAGCAGUACGCAGGUCCUGCUUAUCCUGCUGCUUAUGGCCAGAUUAGCCAAGCGUUCCCACAGCCACCUCCCAUGAUACCACAGCAACAGAGAGAAGGACCAGAGGGCUGUAACCUGUUUAUCUACCAUCUGCCCCAGGAGUUUGGGGAUGCUGAGCUGAUGCAGAUGUUCCUGCCUUUCGGUAAUGUCAUCUCCUCGAAAGUGUUUGUGGAUCGGGCGACAAACCAAAGUAAAUGCUUUGGUUUUGUGAGUUUUGACAAUCCUGCCAGUGCCCAAGCUGCCAUCCAAGCUAUGAAUGGCUUCCAGAUUGGCAUGAAGAGGCUGAAGGUGCAGCUGAAGAGGCCAAAGGAUGCUAAUCGUCCCUACUGAGAAGUUAUGGGAACCACUGGAUAUAAAGCACUAGCACAGAGCCAGUCAAAUCCACCACAGUCUCGCGCUGAGCUAGGAAAAAAGUUCACGUAAUGACAUGAAAGUGGAGAAUACAGUCCCCCAGGCCGGCAGCAGCUGAAUGGGCCACAAUUAGAAAAACAAAACAAAAACAAAACAAAACAAAACAAAAACACAAAAAAGUAUAUCUAUAUUAAAAAAAAAAAACGGGAACUGUUGGAUUACACCUUUGACAUAUCAGCAAAUAUCAAUCAAGCUGAAGACUUCAGACUUAUUCUCUCUUUGAUUGUUUAGACUGUAACAUUUCUUCAAGAAAAGUAUCACAUCUGCUGACUUCGAAGGACAUGCGCUUGAAAACAAACAAACAAACACAUAAGUAAAAUCAGAACAGGAACAAGAUCAACCAGGAUUUCUGAAGAAACACUGAUAUCACCACAGCGGCUUUUCUUCAAACAGGAGAUGCAAACCUGGAUACUGACAAAGGAGUGCCUGUUUGCCACCAAGGAUGCGGUUACCAUGUGCGACCCAUGGUAGCAGUCACUGAGCAUCUUUAUCUGUCAUUCCUUAGCUAUAUAGGGACCAAAGGACAAAACUUUUUACCGCAGACUUGUAGCUGUAUGUAAAAUAUGGAAGUUCUUUCCUUUUCUCUGAGCUGUUCCUAAAACAGUUUUUGAGAGCGAUUAUAAGAAAUAUAUAAAAAUUAAAAAAAAAAAAAUGCUUAAAUGCUUUUAAAACAGCAAGAUAAUAGUUCUUUGAUACUUUGGGAGGUUCUUUGGUUAUACGUUAAUUAGAGUCUAUGAAGCUUUCGUAUGGUUUUCUGUAUAAUACGUAAGGAUUGCGCUGUUAAAGGCAGGUUAGAUGGAUAUCUAUGAAAAGCAAAAAAGAAAAAAACUUAAAUACACUAAAAAGCAUAGAAGAGAAGAGAAAGGAAAGAUGGUUGAUAUUAAAAUGGAAAACAAAAAAAGAAAAGGUUUGUAAAUGCUUCUAACUCUCCCCAUUUAAAAUCCUAAUAGUUGUACAGAAUUUAAAAAAGAAAGUUUAAAAUACCUAUAUAAUAGAAAAAAAAUUAGACAACAUAAAAAAAUAAAAAAAAAACAAAAAAGCAAAAAAAAAAAUAAUACUACAUAGAAGUUAGCGUUAAUGCUAAAACAAAGAUGUUGUAGAACUGUAAUUUUUGUAGAGUUUAGAUUGAGCAUAAAUUCCUACUCUGCGAAUUGCUGUUGGAUGCUGUUAUUUAUUAAGGAGACAAAGGAGAUAAAUGGCUAUUAUGGCAGCUUUUUUAACUGCAAGCAUUCCAGCUAUUAACAAAAUAAACAGAAUAAAACUCGACUCUGUAGACAAUGCAAAUGGGAAACAAAACAGCUGUCUUUUUAUCAGACGUUAGUUCUAACUUGAAGAACGAAACACAGCUAAACGCUUCAUGUCUUCAUGAUCUGCUGUCCGCGAAAUUCCCAUCAUCCUAUGCUUCAGUAGCUUCCAUAUUUGCUCUAGAAACCUUCAGGGCAAGUGAUUAGCCUAGAAACCUUAAACUUAAAAAAAAAAAAAAAAAAAAAAAAAAAAAAUUAAAAAAGCAUAAAAAAAAAAAAAAAACCUAAGUAUAAAA